UACGAAGGGUGCAAGCGUUAAUCGGAAUUACUGGGCGUAAAGCGCGCGUAGGUGGUUCGUUAAGUUGGAUGUGAAAGCCCCGGGCUCAACCUGGGAACUGCAUCCAAAACUGGCGAGCUAGAGUACGGUAGAGGGUGGUGGAAUUUCCUGUGUAGCGGUGAAAUGCGUAGAUAUCACUUGGAACGCCAAAGGUGAAAACAGUCUGCUGGGGACUUGCUGACGCUGAGACGCGAAAGCGUGGGGAGCAAACAGG
rnacentral:rRNA from 1 species